rnacentral:snoRNA from 1 species
AAUAUCUUCACAACGCCGACUCCUUUCCUUUUCUAUGGCAGCUUCCAUCCACCCUGUUGGUGAUUUUGUCUAAAGUGUCGAGCGAAGAGUAAACUUAGACCCGUUGCUGGGCACCUGGCUUUGAAAGGACGUUUUGUUCCUUUUGGAUAAUCUGGGAAUCAGCUGUGGUUACAUGC